GAUGAACGCUGGCGGCAUGCCUAAGACAUGCAAGUCGAACGGGGUGUACCAUUGAAAGUGGAGUGCUUGCACAAAACUGGAUUUGGAUUUGCACCUAGUGGCGCACGGGUGAGUAACACGUGGGUAACCUACCUAUUAGUCGGGGACAACAGUUGGAAACGACUGCUAAUACCGGAUGAUAUAUGAAACGGUAUCUUUUCAUAUUAAAAGGAGCUUUCAAGCUUCGCUUUUAGAUGGGCCUGCAGCGUAUUAGUUAGUUGGUGGGGUAACGGCCUACCAAGACGACGAUGCGUAGCCGAACUGAGAGGUUGAUCGGCCACAUUGGGACUGAGACACGGCCCAAACUCCUACGGGAGACAGCAGUUAGGAAUAUUCGUCAAUGGGGGAAACCCUGAACGAGCAAUGCCGCGUGAGUGAUGACGGUCCUCUGGAUUGUAAAACUCUGUUGAGAAGGAAGAAAAACUACAUUAGGAAAUGAUUGUAGCUUGACGGUACUUCUUUAGAAAGCUCCGGCUAACUACGUGCCAGCAGCCGCCGUAA
rnacentral:rRNA from 1 species